rnacentral:rRNA from 1 species
CCUGGCUCAGGAUGAACGCUAGCUACAGGCUUAACACAUGCAAGUCGAGGGGCAGCAUGGUCUUAGCUUGCUAAGACUGAUGGCGACCGGCGCACGGGUGAGUAACACGUAUCCAACCUGCCGUCUACUCUUGGACAGCCUUCUGAAAGGAAGAUUAGUACAAGAUGGCAUCAUGAGUCCGCAUGUUCACAUGAUUAAAGGUAUUCCGGUAGACGAUGGGGAUGCGUUCCAUUAGAUAGUAGGCGGGGUAACGGCCCACCUAGUCUUCGAUGGAUAGGGGUUCUGAGAGGAAGGUCCCCCACAUUGGAACUGAGACACGGUCCAAACUCCUACGGGAGGCAGCAGUGAGGAAUAUUGGUCAAUGGGCGAGAGCCUGAACCAGCCAAGUAGCGUGAAGGAUGACUGCCCUAUGGGUUGUAAACUUCUUUUAUAAAGGAAUAAAGUCGGGUAUGCAUACCCGUUUGCAUGUACUUUAUGAAUAAGGAUCGGCUAACUCCGUGCCAGCAGCCGCGGUAAUACGGAGGAUCCGAGCGUUAUCCGGAUUUAUUGGGUUUAAAGGGAGCGUAGAUGGAUGUUUAAGUCAGUUGUGAAAGUUUGCGGCUCAACCGUAAAAUUGCAGUUGAUACUGGAUAUCUUGAGUGCAGUUGAGGCAGGCGGAAUUCGUGGUGUAGCGGUGAAAUGCUUAGAUAUCACGAAGAACUCCGAUUGCGAAGGCAGCCUGCUAAGCUGCAACUGACAUUGAGGCUCGAAAGUGUGGGUAUCAAACAGGAUUAGAUACCCUGGUAGUCCACACGGUAAACGAUGAAUACUCGCUGUUUGCGAUAUACGGCAAGCGGCCAAGCGAAAGCGUUAAGUAUUCCACCUGGGGAGUACGCCGGCAACGGUGAAACUCAAAGGAAUUGACGGGGGCCCGCACAAGCGGAGGAACAUGUGGUUUAAUUCGAUGAUACGCGAGGAACCUUACCCGGGCUUAAAUUGCAGAUGAAUUACGGUGAAAGCCGUAAGCCGCAAGGCAUCUGUGAAGGUGCUGCAUGGUUGUCGUCAGCUCGUGCCGUGAGGUGUCGGCUUAAGUGCCAUAACGAGCGCAACCCUUGUUGUCAGUUACUAACAGGUUCUGCUGAGGACUCUGACAAGACUGCCAUCGUAAGAUGUGAGGAAGGUGGGGAUGACGUCAAAUCAGCACGGCCCUUACGUCCGGGGCUACACACGUGUUACAAUGGGGGGUACAGAGGGCCGCUACCACGCGAGUGGAUGCCAAUCCCAAAAACCUCUCUCAGUUCGGACUGGAGUCUGCAACCCGACUCCACGAAGCUGGAUUCGCUAGUAAUCGCGCAUCAGCCACGGCGCGGUGAAUACGUUCCCGGGCCUUGUACACACAGGCCG